ensembl:lncRNA
GUUUGGACUCAGUGCUCCCAGCUGGAGUCAUGGUUCCUACUUAUUUGAAUGAUAACGAUCGCACCUCUUGGUCAUCAUGCUGGCAACCCACAUGGAUAAGUUUGUACCUAGUGACUCUAAUGGAACCUGGAGUUUGCUAAUUUGGCUGGACUGGAAGGUCGCUGAAGCCCAGGGAGCAGAGGAAGUCCUCGGUGAUGUAUAUUGUUGUCAUAGGCACGGCCAUGUGAAGGACCAAAGCCUUAGACCCAUGCGGAUGGCAAAGACUUCUGGUCUGAAAGCCAAGAACUGUUGGCAGGAUGUGCAAAAAGUAGCAACUGCAGCUUCCUCCCCGGGCCCCAUGUUAACAGCUGGAGACUUCUCCCUACGAAGACCUCC